rnacentral:rRNA from 1 species
GACGAACGCUGGCGGCGUGCUUAACACAUGCAAGUCGAACGGUGAAGCGCCUUCCUUUUUGGUGUGUGUGUAUGAGUGGCGAACUGGUGAGUAACACGUUAGUAACCUUCCCCCUUCUUCUUGAUAACCGCAUGCAAGUGUGACUAAUACUUGAUAUUCUGGUUCUGUCGCAUCAUUGGUCUGGGAAAGAUUUUGUUUCGGUUUUGGAUGGGCUCGCGCCCUAUCAGCUUGUUGGUGGGGUGAUGGCCUACCAAGGCGGUGACGAGUAGCCGGCCUGAGAGGGUGGACGGCAACAGAGGGGAGGAGAGGCGGAGAAGACUACGAGAGGAGGCAGUAGGGAGGAAUAUGGAAUGAGGGGAGGAAGGCUGAAGCAGCGACGCGGGGGGAAGGAUGGUGGUCGUAGGGUAAAGAACCGUUAUGGGGAAAGAAGAAGGGCGGAAGAGAUUGUGGGUGGGUUGACGGUAGCUAAAGAAGAAGCGACGGCUAACUACGUG